rfam:Dipodomys ordii contig_3801, whole genome shotgun sequence.
CAUUGUUCUGAUCACCAGCAGAUCAGCAAUUAGAAAAGAAAAAUCAGCUAAGGCCUUUUGACCUGGUUGACAAUAUAGGAGCUUCUGAUUUUAACUCCUUCAGCCUGAUUCCUCUAAAAAUGAAAUACACAAGUUGUGCCUUAGUUCUGCUGCUCUGCAUCGUU